CAAUAGCGUAUAUUAAAGUUGUUGCAGUUAAAAAGCUCGUAGUUGGAUUUCUGGUGGGAGCGGUUGGUCUGCCCCGCGAGGGGUAGUUACUGAGCCGUAUCCGGCCCUUUUCGGGUUGACCGUGGCUGGCAUUAAUUUGUCGGUGCGGGAGGCCCGUCGUUUACUGUGAACAAAUUAGAGUGUUCAAAGCAGGGUGUUCUUGAAUACAUUAGCAUGGAAUAAUGAGAUAGGACUUUGGUGGUUCUCACUUUAUGUGGGAUAUUUUGUUGGUUUGCACGCCAAAGUAAUGAUUAAUAGGAGCAGUUGGGGGUAUUCGUAUUCAAUUGUCAGAGGUGAAAUUCUUGGAUUUCUAGAAGACGAACUACUGCGAAAGCAUUUACCAAGGAUGUUUUCAUUAA
rnacentral:rRNA from 1 species